rnacentral:rRNA from 1 species
GGAAGGUUACCGGGAUGCGCUAUAUUGCAGUCGAGCGGUAAGGCCUUUCGGGGUACACGAGCGGCGAACGGGUGAGUAACACGUGGGUGAUCUGCCCUGCACUUCGGGAUAAGCCUGGGAAACUGGGUCUAAUACCGGAUAUGACCUCCUAUCGCAUGGUGGGUGGUGGAAAGAUUUAUCGGUGCAGGAUGGGCCCGCGGCCUAUCAGCUUGUUGGUGGGGUAAUGGCCUACCAAGGCGACGACGGGUAGCCGACCUGAGAGGGUGACCGGCCACACUGGGACUGAGACACGGCCCAGACUCCUACGGGAGGCAGCAGUGGGGAAUAUUGCACAAUGGGCGAAAGCCUGAUGCAGCGACGCCGCGUGAGGGAUGACGGCCUUCGGGUUGUAAACCUCUUUCAGCAGGGACGAAGCGCAAGUGACGGUACCUGCAGAAGAAGCACCGGCUAACUACGUGCCAGCAGCCGCGGUAAUACGUAGGGUGCAAGCGUUGUCCGGAAUUACUGGGCGUAAAGAGUUCGUAGGCGGUUUGUCGCGUCGUUUGUGAAAACCAGCAGCUCAACUGCUGGCUUGCAGGCGAUACGGGCAGACUUGAGUACUGCAGGGGAGACUGGAAUUCCUGGUGUAGCGGUGAAAUGCGCAGAUAUCAGGAGGAACACCGGUGGCGAAGGCGGGUCUCUGGGCAGUAACUGACGCUGAGGAACGAAAGCGUGGGUAGCGAACAGGAUUAGAUACCCUGGUAGUCCACGCCGUAAACGGUGGGCGCUAGGUGUGGGUUCCUUCCACGGAAUCCGUGCCGUAGCUAACGCAUUAAGCGCCCCGCCUGGGGAGUACGGCCGCAAGGCUAAAACUCAAAGGAAUUGACGGGGGCCCGCACAAGCGGCGGAGCAUGUGGAUUAAUUCGAUGCACGCGAAGAACCUUACCUGGGUUUGACAUAUACCGGAAAGCUGCAGAGAUGUGGUCCCCCCUUGUGGUCGGUAUACAGUGGUGCAUGUCUGUCGUCAGCUCGUGUUCGUGAUAUGUUGGGUUAAUUCCCGCAACGAGCGCAACCCCUAUCUUAUGUUGCCUACACGUUAUGGUUGGGGGACUCGUAGAAACUGCGGGGUCAACUCGAGGAAGGUGGGGACGACGUCAAGACAUCUGGCCCUUAUUGUCACAGGCCUUAA